GGUUAAGCGACUAAGCGUACACGGUGGAUGCCCCGGCAGUCAGAGGCGAUGAAGGACGUGUUAAUCUGCGAUAAGCGUCGGUAAGGUGAUAUGAACCGUUAUAACCGGCGAUUUCCGAAUGGGGGAAACCCAGUGUGUUUCGACACACUAUCAUUAACUGAAUCCAUAGGUUAAUGAGGCGAACCGGGGGAACUGAAACAUCUAAGUACCCCGAGGAAAAGAAAUCAACCGAGAUUCCCCCAGUAGCGGCGAGCGAACGGGGAGCAGCCCAGAGCCUGAAUCAGUAUGUGUGUUAGUGGAAGCGUCUGGAAAGGCGCGCGAUACAGGGUGACAGCCCCGUACACAAAAAUGCACAUGCUGUGAGCUCGAUGAGUAGGGCGGGACACGUGGUAUCCUGUCUGAAUAUGGGGGACCAUCCUCCAAGGCUAAAUACUCCUGACUGACCGAUAGUGAACCAGUACCGUGAGGGAAAGGCGAAAAGAACCCCGGCGAGGGGAGUGAAAAAGAACCUGAAACCGUGUACGUACAAGCAGUGGGAGCACGCUUAGGCGUGUGACUGCGUACCUUUGUAUAAUGGGUCAGCGACUUAUAUUCUGUAGCAAGGUUAACCGAAUAGGGGAGCCGAAGGGAAACCGAGUCUUAACUGGGCGUUAAGUUGCAGGGUAUAGACCCGAAACCCGGUGAUCUAGCCAUGGGCAGGUUGAAGGUUGGGUAACACUAACUGGAGGACCGAACCGACUAAUGUUGAAAAAUUAGCGGAUGACUUGUGGCUGGGGGUGAAAGGCCAAUCAAACCGGGAGAUAGCUGGUUCUCCCCGAAAGCUAUUUAGGUAGCGCCUCGUGAAUUCAUCUCCGGGGGUAGAGCACUGUUUCGGCAAGGGGGUCAUCCCGACUUACCAACCCGAUGCAAACUGCGAAUACCGGAGAAUGUUAUCACGGGAGACACACGGCGGGUGCUAACGUCCGUCGUGAAGAGGGAAACAACCCAGACCGCCAGCUAAGGUCCCAAAGUCAUGGUUAAGUGGGAAACGAUGUGGGAAGGCCCAGACAGCCGGGAUGUUGGCUUAGAAGCAGCCAUCAUUUAAAGAAAGCGUAAUAGCUCACUGGUCGAGUCGGCCUGCGCGGAAGAUGUAACGGGGCUAAACCAUGCACCGAAGCUGCGGCAGCGACACUAUGUGUUGUUGGGUAGGGGAGCGUUCUGUAAGCCUGUGAAGGUGUACUGUGAGGUAUGCUGGAGGUAUCAGAAGUGCGAAUGCUGACAUAAGUAACGAUAAAGCGGGUGAAAAGCCCGCUCGCCGGAAGACCAAGGGUUCCUGUCCAACGUUAAUCGGGGCAGGGUGAGUCGACCCCUAAGGCGAGGCCGAAAGGCGUAGUCGAUGGGAAACAGGUUAAUAUUCCUGUACUUGGUGUUACUGCGAAGGGGGACGGAGAAGGCUAUGUUGGCCGGGCGACGGUUGUCCCGGUUUAAGCGUGUAGGCUGGUUUUCCGGGCAAAUCCGGAAAAUCAAGGCUGAGGCGUGAUGACGAGGCACUACGGUGCUGAAGCAACAAAUGCCCUGCUUCCGGGAAAAGCCUCUAAGCAUCAGGUAACAUCAAAUCGUACCCCAAACCGACACAGGUGGUCAGGUAGAGAAUACCAAGGCGCUUGAGAGAACUCGGGUGAAGGAACUAGGCAAAAUGGUGCCGUAACUUCGGGAGAAGGCACGCUGAUAUGUAGGUGAAGUCCCUCGCGGAUGGAGCUGAAAUCAGUCGAAGAUACCAGCUGGCUGCAACUGUUUAUUAAAAACACAGCACUGUGCAAACACGAAAGUGGACGUAUACGGUGUGACGCCUGCCCGGUGCCGGAAGGUUAAUUGAUGGGGUUAGCCGCAAGGCGAAGCUCUUGAUCGAAGCCCCGGUAAACGGCGGCCGUAACUAUAACGGUCCUAAGGUAGCGAAAUUCCUUGUCGGGUAAGUUCCGACCUGCACGAAUGGCGUAAUGAUGGCGGGCUGUCUCCACCCGAGACUCAGUGAAAUUGAACUCGCUGUGAAGAUGCAGUGUACCCGCGGCAAGACGGAAAGACCCCGUGAACCUUUACUAUAGCUUGACACUGAACAUUGAGCCUUGAUGUGUAGGAUAGGUGGGAGGCUUUGAAGUGUGGACGCCAGUCUGCAUGGAGCCGACCUUGAAAUACCACCCUUUAAUGUUUGAUGUUCUAACGUUGACCCGUAAUCCGGGUUGCGGACAGUGUCUGGUGGGUAGUUUGACUGGGGCGGUCUCCUCCUAAAGAGUAACGGAGGAGCACGAAGGUUGGCUAAUCUCGGUCGGACAUCAGGAGGUUAGUGCAAUGGCAUAAGCCAGCUUGACUGCGAGCGUGACGGCGCGAGCAGGUGCGAAAGCAGGUCAUAGUGAUCCGGUGGUUCUGAAUGGAAGGGCCAUCGCUCAACGGAUAAAAGGUACUCCGGGGAUAACAGGCUGAUACCGCCCAAGAGUUCAUAUCGACGGCGGUGUUUGGCACCUCGAUGUCGGCUCAUCACAUCCCGGGGCUGAAGUAGGUCCCAAGGGUAUGGCUGUUCGCCAUUUAAAGUGGUACGCGAGCUGGGUUUAGAACGUCGUGAGACAGUUCGGUCCCUAUCUGCCGUGGGCGCUGGAGAACUGAGGGGGCUGCUCCUAGUACGAGAGGACCGGAGUGGACGCAUCACUGGUGUUCGGGUUGUCAUGCCAAUGGCACUGCCCGGUAGCUAAAUGCGGAAGAGAUAAGUGCUGAAAGCAUCUAAGCACGAAACUUGCCCCGAGAUGAGUUCUCCCUGACUCCUUGAGAGUCCUGAAGGAACGUUGAAGACGACGACGUUGAUAGGCCGGGUGUGUAAGCGCAGCGAUGCGUUGAGCUAACCGGUACUAAUGAACCGUGAGGCUUAACCUU
rnacentral:rRNA from 1 species